GCCAGCAUAGCUCAGUUGGUAGAGCAGCUGAUUCGUAAUCAGCAGGUCUGGAGUUCGAGUCUCCAUGCUGGCUCCA
rnacentral:tRNA from 7 species